rnacentral:rRNA from 1 species
AGCAGCCGCGGUAAUUCCAGCUCCAAUAGCGUAUAUUAAAGUUGUUGCAGUUAAAAAGCUCGUAGUUGAAUUUCGGGGUCAGUAGAUUGGUCGUGCCACUGGUAUGUACUGGUCUUACUGGCUCCUCCUUCCUGAUGAACCGUAAUGCCAUUAAUUUGGUGUUGCGGGGAGACUGGACUGUUACUUUGAAAAAAUUAGAGUGUUUAAAGCAGGCUAACGCUUGAAUACAUUAGCAUGGAAUAAUGAAAUAGGACGUUCGAUCUUAUUUUGUUGGUUUUCUAGGAUUGACGUAAUGAUUAAUAGGGAUAGUUGGGGGCAUUAGUAUUCAAUUGUCAGAGGUGAAAUUCUUGGAUUUAUUGAAGACUAACUACUGCGAAAGCAUUUGCCAAGGAUGUUUUCAUUAAUCAAGAACGAAAGUUAGGGGAUCGAAGACGAUCAGAUACCGUCGUAGUCUUAACCAUAAACUAUGCCGACUAGGGAUCGGAUGAUGUUAAUUUUUUAAUGACUCAUUCGGCGCCUU